AAGUCGAAGGAAGAAAUUCAUUCGCGUUUCACCAUUGACAUGAUUGUGUAUGCUAGACAAUAAAUGUAUUUCAAAUAUAUCCUUGUGGUGUGUUUAUAUAUAUAUGUUGCUACAUAUCAGUUUUAAGUCUGGUGGUGGACGCGUGCAUUUUUCUUCUGGUAGGACGUUGCGAUCCGUUAGGAUUCAAAUUUAGAUAUCGAUCUAUGAUGUUUUGUGGUUUAGUUCAAUGAUACAUAUUUUAUUAUGRUAAUAUUAUUGAAACCAUACAAUCUGAUCGAUUUACCUGACGGUAAAACAAUGGUUUAUAAGUCGCAUAAUAAUUUCAUUAGCGUUAGGGGUUGGACAAGUAUAUAAAAUUGUGUAAAGGCAAUAUUAUUAUUAUUUAUAGUAGUAGUAUUGUUCUCGGUAAUCGGUAUUUAUAUCAAUUCCGGGCCGUUUAUGUACUGUUGGUCUAACAUAUCUCUAACCGACUUAAUUAUUCAUCAAGAAUAAAACCGAUCUGCAACGCUAUAGCUUUGGGUAAUUUCAGGACCCGUCUUGAAACACGGACCAAGGAGUCUAGCAUGUUCGCAAGCCAUUGGGAAUAAAAAAACCUACAGGCUUAAUGAAAGUAAAAAAAUCACAUACAUUUUUACUAUGUGUGUGUGAAAGGGAAGAUGAAUAAUGAUUUCGCAUCACAUAUACGGUGAUGUGAUACGUUAUUUCGCAUUCCCGGGGCGUUUAAAUUUCAUUUGUUUUUUUUUGACAAAUGAGAUUAUGCGCACCAAGAGUGUACACGCUGGGACCCGAAAGAUGGUGAACUAUGCCUGGUCAGGACGAAGUCAGGGGAAACCCUGAUGGAGGUCCGUAGCGAUUCUGACGUGCAAAUCGAUCGUCGGAACUGGGUAUAGG
rnacentral:rRNA from 1 species